rnacentral:rRNA from 1 species
GAUGAACGCUGGCGGCGUGCCUAAUACAUGCGAGUCGAGCGAACAGACGAGGAGCUUGCUCCUCUGACGUUAGCGGCGGACGGGUGAGUAACACGUGGAUAACCUACCUAUAAGACUGGGAUAACUUCGGGAAACCGGAGCUAAUACCGGAUAAUAUAUUGAACCGCAUGGUUCAAUAGUGAAAGACGGUUUUGCUGUCACUUGUAGAUGGAUCCGCGCCGCAUUAGCUAGUUGGUAAGGUAACGGCUUACCAAGGCAACGAUGCGUAGCCGACCUGAGAGGGUGAUCGGCCACACUGGAACUGAGACACGGUCCAGACUCCUACGGGAGGCAGCAGUAGGGAAUCUUCCGCAAUGGGCGAAAGCUUGACGGAGCAACGCCGCGUGAGUGAUGAAGGUCUUCGGAUCGUAAAACUCUGUUAUUAGGGAAGAACAAAUGUGUAAGUAACUAUGCACGUCUUGACGGUACCUAAUCAGAAAGCCACGGCUAACUACGUG